ensembl:lncRNA
AGGAGAAGAGGAUGCUUGUGUUCUGGAUUCUACAGAUACACAGCAGAAGACAGUAGUGUGGCCUGAAGACCUGGCAGUUCCAAGACCAUUGCAGUUUCUGAGUUCGUACUGAUGUCUUGUGGAAUGGAGGGCUCCCAUACUUCAUUCUGUCUUCAGGAAACUCCUGAAUCUACAGAUAAAGGUAGCAUUCCUUCUCUAUAGCUGCUUGCUGAAUCUCUGCUGGAGAGAACUGCCACAGGAGCCCAGCUCCUACUGGCAGAUGAAUCUUCCUGCACUGGCCUUUGCCACGUUGAAAGCUUGUUUCUUUGUCUCUGCAGGCAUGUACAUGUGCUGGGAUAUGAUACAACAGCUGUUUUUGAGGGGACAGAUCUACCCUAUCUGUGGAAACCAAGGAAGGAUUGGUGUAUAUGGAUUAUGGCCAGGAAAGAAACAGGAUCCAGAACUGGUGUUUUAGAAGACAUAUAGAAGGACAAGCAUAUGGAUAAAUGCCACAGAAAUAUCUUCAAAAUAAUCCAGAAGCAAAACUCUUAUUGAAAAUGGGAGAUGUUAAGUACUGAUAACCUGUCCACAGUGAAUAGAAGAUGACCAGGAGUGGAAGAUCUCCCCGACUUUGAGUUCUCCUCCCAUCACCAGGAUGCUGCUGACCUGCUCUCUGCUCUGCACUCAACUCAGUGGUGGGACUUCCAGAGGCUGCCUUCACCAUUUCCUUCAAUUAUGUUCUCCAUAAAGCCCUACCUCAGCUCUCCCAGAGUCUCAGCUAUUCAAGUUACUCCAGGGGAACCUAUAACACAGAUGUAUGGGAACUGUUGAAUCACGGCCUGAACCUCUGAUUGACCACCUGAGCUGCUGAGGAUCUGGAUCCAGAAACGGAAGGGAAAAAGAAAUAGCUGAAGGAAAACAGUUUUCUUUUGAGAGCGUUCAGCAGAUUUUGCCACAAGUAAAACCAUCAGGAUGUGAGCUGAAACCUGUGUCAGUGUCCACAGUGUUUGAAUAGUCUGGUUUUAAUAGAAACAUGAAAACGCCAUAUGGAGCCAGACAACCAUUUCCUUCCUUCAGCGUGUUUGUCCAUGUUUAAGUGGAGCACAGCAACAUUUCUGUGACUUGCUUCUUGUUGGUGCAUUGGAGAGUUGAAGAAAUGGAGUAGCCUGGAUUGGUCCUUGAUAUGCAAUCACUUCAUGGAGUACUGUACACAGGACUAUGCACCAUUAGCCAAGCCUCCCAGUCAGCCAAAUGUGUGCCAGGGAAGGAAUUACGUCUUUUCAUUAGGAGGGUAACAGUAUGAAGGCAUUACAGGACACAGCGUUGAGUGCCACCAGUCUUGGAAUUGAACAGGUCAGAAAUGCCAUACCAACACAUGGCUUCCUGCAAAGACAUGAACUCAAGGAAGGGACUUAAAGUACAGCAUGUGUCAAAGGGCUUUGCAGAAGCUGCAGGAGGGCUCCAUACAGCAAAACAGAGGAGCACUCACUUCCAUUCAAUCUCGGCAGAGCCCUGAUAAAUGCAUAAACAAACUUUUUUCCUUCUUACACAGUUCUGAGUGAUGACAGUAUCUCUACGAUCUUCAAGAGGAAGUAAUCAUUUGCUGAUAAACAUCUCCUCUCCAAAUGUACCUAGUAAAAAGACACAUUCUUUUGUAUAUAUUUAAUUACAGGAGAACAGAUUUUGUCCAAAUAAUUAGGUAAUUUAAACUAUGCAGUCUUUCCCAAAGAACUAUAUUUAACCUUCAUUUGAAUUUAAUUUCCACAUCACAGUGCCCCUUAAGCGGUUCUGUAAGUCAAAACAGUGAUCAAAUAUUUUUAAAAUGUCAAAUGUUGCUUAAUUGUGGAUAGCACUGAAUUUGUUUUAAGAGAUAACAGCUUUUGAUCUGCUGCUAUUUUUUGUCUGUCCUAUUGUCAUGUUUCUCUUCAUCAGAAGUUUCUGUCAACUGUUUAAUCCAUACAACACCCGACUUUCCAGACAGCUGAAGAUUUCAAAGAAGAAAUGUGGGGAACCCUUCAAAAGUUUCAUGAAGUAUUAAACAGGAUGUGGAUUAGUGUCUUGCUACUACAGACCCCAGCACUUGCAAGAGGAGGAAAAAAAAGCGUUUUAAAAAUUCAAGUAUUAUUAAGGGAUUAUAAUGUUUUUGCCUGAAUUAAGGGUAGUGCUGUAAAGAAUAAUUUUACAGCAUUAAUAUAAAUCAGCAGAACUUUAUUGGCUUUAAUACACCUAUUCUGAUUUGCACCACUCAUGAUCAGGCUCCUUAUAUCUAAAUGUAUCUUUUGCUCCAUGGAAGUAGAUCAUUUUUCUCCUGACUUGCUCUUUCCUAUUGUCUUGCCCCUGUAAAUUAUAUAUAUUAGGUUCAUAAGCAGUGUAGUGAAAGUAAACAGGAAGAGAGUCUCACAGUUUGAAUGAAUUAUAACAAAAACUACAGUAGGUCUGACCUACAUUAAGCUAGUUCAGUAGAACAAUCUACACACAAAGUGGCUUGUAUUUCAGGGUUGGCUCUAAGGUUGAUUCUCAGUUAAAAAAAAAAAAAAAAAAGAAUGAUUCCAAAGAAUCACAAGUCUUAUCAGUCUCUUUGAAACAAACAAAAGCCAACAUACACUCCACAGCUCAGUUGUAAAAACAAUAGAGCAGGAAGACUUUCCUGUAACAGCAUCUCCCACUGGGCGAUAGCAGUUGAAAGUACUUACUAUGAUUAUGAUUAAUUUCAUUAGUGCUCAGUUCACUUUAAUACUUUUCUCCCUCUAUCUCUGAAUGCAGAUAAUUUUUCCCUGCAAGUAAAUCCAGGGUGACAGUUUAAUAGGCUCAGACAUGCUUAGAUCCGAAAUGAGACUGUAAUAUUAAUAUACUAUUGACCAGUUAUAGAUUAAGCAAACUGAGGGCACACUUAAGUAAAUGACUUCAGAGGGACAAGUUAAUGUGCUAAGUGGUUCACAGGCAAUGAUUAAAAAUAUUCUUCAUUUACUUGGAAAUUAAUAGGUUUCUUUAAUUAAUCUAAUAAAGCCACCCUGUGGUAUGUUACAUAUUUGGUGUAUGUUUUAAAAGAAGAUGCUGAGUUGCUGGAUCUGGAAAUCCCUGUUCUGCUUACUGAAGAAAGGAAACAGUCAUAUAUAAAAGCAGCCUUGCACAUGGCUAGAAUUUCCAACAAGCCAUCUUCUUUGCCACAAGUAGGAUUACAUUGCAUGACGGGUGUUAUGAAUCUCAAUGUUAAGCAAUCAACAGCACCAGCAAUUCCAUGUGUGAAUUGCAGAAUCAUCCAAGUAUCUUCAGGGAUUGUUAGUGUAUUUCACAACUGCAUCCAGUCAAAUGAGCACUUUUCUCCUCCAACAGUCUUUCAAAUCCAACUGGUCAACCAAUUGAAAGAAAACAACACAAUCUUUGCAACAACAGCAAUUUAUAUGCCGAGAAGUGCUAAAGCCUUGCAAAGGAUUACGGGUUACUUACUGGCUUGGACCCAACUUUGAAGGAAUUCAAAAGAAAAAGGGAGAAUCCCCAACUCCUAGCAAGAGCACUAUGGCAGGGAUCAAUUCCUUCCCAGGGCACAGGGGGCUACAGAAGGAAGCAGUGAGAAUACGUUAUCAAUCAGACUUGAAGAAUAAGAAGAACCUGUCUGUAUUUGUGGAUGGCUGAGAUCAAGCUUGGUCUUAGAAUCAGGCAUCUUCCUUAAGAAGAAAGGGAUGUGACACAGACUUUUAAGUUUGACAUGGGUGACAGCAAGUCUUUCAACACAUGAAGCCCAUUCAUUUUUGUCUUGAAAACAGUUUUGUAAAUGUCAGAGUUUAAAACUCAUUUGACUCAUUUUUGCCUUUUUUUCAGCAGCGUUUAUCUCACCCCAAGUUUGAAGGGAGAUCUGUCCAUUUCCGUCAGAAGAAUAACUCAGUCAACAGACAGGGACUUCUGUUUUACCAAGCCUGCUGUGCCUGCUUCUGGCAAUGCUGGGUUACAGGAGCUCAGGUUCUUGUGUUUGAAAACCUCUAUGUGGCAAACAGAGAGAAUGAGGCUUUAAAACUUUCUGUUUUCUUUGGCUUUUGGGCAACUGGUUGCAUUCUAUCUAAGGGAAAAAAUACUUCAUGCUGCAAAACUAUGUCCCUCUCCUAUGGCAUGUCAUCAGAUGUCUUACAUAUUUUAACUCAAAUAUGAAAUGGCAAUACAAAU